rnacentral:ncRNA from 1 species
UCGCAUCCGCUAAUCGGUUCAGCCGUGUCGCAGGAGGUUUUUUUACCCAACUUAUGUUUUCCAUAGGAAAACGGAGGUCAGCG